rnacentral:misc_RNA from 1 species
UAACCCUAGAGGUAAUCACAAUUAGUAGUAUGGGUUUGUGAAAAUCCAUUGAAAGUUUGAAACUGACGCCCUUUCCCCAGGGAGAACAAAGCAAAAAAUUGCAAAAGUCCAUCAGCUAAACAAACAUCACAGUAAGCCAACCCGCUGCUUCAUAGUAAAAGGAAUUUAAUUAAAAAUGGUAGAAACAUUUUUAGUAACAACCAUAAGCAACAAACGAGCAUUAUAAAGAAUAGGCCAUAUUAAACCACAGCACAUUCUACAUUUAUACAUUGACACA